CGCCAACCCCAUCAUAUACAUCC
rnacentral:miRNA from 1 species